rnacentral:rRNA from 1 species
GACGGAGGGGGCUAGCGUUGUUCGGAAUAACUGGGCGUAAAGGGCACGUAGGCGGUUUAACAAGUCAGACGUGAAAGCCCUAGGCUUAACCUAGGAACUGCGUUUGAUACUAUUAAACUUGAGUUUGGGAGAGGAAAGUGGAAUUUCUAGUGUAGAGGUGGAAUUCGUAGAUAUUAGAAGGAACACCAGAGGCGAAGGCGACUUUCUGGACCAAUACUGACGCUAAUGUGCGAAAGCGUGGGGAGCAAACAGG